rnacentral:rRNA from 1 species
UACAGAGGUCUCAAGCGUUGUUGGGAUUCAUUGGGCGUAAAGGGUGCGUAGGCGGCGCGGUAAGUCGGGUGUGAAAUCUCGGAGCUUAACUCCGAAACUGCAUUCGAUACUGCCGUGCUUGAGGACUGGAGAGGAGACUGGAAUUUACGGUGUAGCGGUGAAAUGCGUAGAUAUCGUAAGGAAGACCAGUGGCGAAGGCGGGUCUCUGGACAGUUCCUGACGCUGAGGCACGAAGGCCAGGGGAGCAAACGGG